rnacentral:lncRNA from 1 species
CAAAAUCGAUUAAUUGCGAAAAGAUCCAAUAUUUUAUGCGCGGUCUUGCGCGAAUUCGAAUGUCGAGGGACCUAUACGGAUAAUCCACAUGUUGGCAGGGGGCUUGGUAAAAAAGGUACUGGACUAGGAGGGGUUUUCUACAAUUAUACAUAUGAUAUAAAGUGAGGUUUUAGGGUUCAGCCAAGGAAACCCUAACCCUAAUCAUCCCCAGCUGCCCUAGCCGCCCCACCUUCUCCCUGCCCAACUCGUGCUCACGCCCCGGCCGCCGGCGGGCUGCUCCGGCCGCCGGAAAAGUCACCCCGGCUUCCUCUCGGUUUCCCUCUAG